rnacentral:lncRNA from 1 species
UCCACACAACCUACGCUAGUACAAGCAACCUCUGAUGCCUCUCUCUAUCCCCUCCCCUUCUGAAAGCUUUCGUUCGCUCCACUUCCACCCGAACACAGAGCAGAGCGCGUGCAGCACCAUGGACGCAGUGGCCAUCGGCGAGCGCACGCAGCGGCAACACAGUCGAGCGCGUGGCCAGUAGAGCAAGCGCACAACAGCAGCGUGGGCAAGUGCGGUGGCCAUCGGCGAGCACCGUGUAGCGGCUAGCAGAGCAACCGCGUGGCGAGCAGAGCCAGUAUGCGCAGUGGCGUCGGGCGAGCGCGCUCAGCUACGACCGGCGAGCAAUCACGUCCCCAACUUGAUAGAAACGACUAGUUUCUUCCCAACGCUGAAAUCACCAUUUCUUGGUGUAUCGGUUCAAGAGUCGACAUGGUUUCCUAUAGAAGAAACGGUUUCCUUUGGUUUUCAUCUCUUUCCUCAUUAAUUAUGAUGCCACAUCAGCAUUUUGCUUAGCUGUCAAGUUAUUUAAUAGGGAUAGAAACUAUCAUUAAUUCUCCGUUGGAGUGCCCUUAUGCCUCGUGCCCAAGAGGCUCGCCGGCGCUUUUCCGUCCACAAAGCGCCGAUGAAGAGAGCCGCCCGACCCGACGCUCUCUAGUUUCUCACGAGCAUUUCGUCAAACAGCUUCGCCGGCGACGGCGAGGCGCCAUUGCGUGGAUGGAUAACCCCCUUGCUUCCGGGUGCGGUGAGGUCUCCUCCGCCACACUCGCCCCGCAUCUUUCAUGUACUAGUAAUCUGGUCCGUCUUUUCUUCGUCUUCCCCUCGAUACCCACUAGCUUGUUGUUAGUAAAGUCCCGUCCUGAAAUAGUAUACCCUUUUGUUGCUCCAGAUGAGCUCGUGUAAUUAGAUAAAUUUGAACAUCUAAUCGCGUACUACCUGUGUUAUCAUCUUGAUCAACACAGUUUAGAUCUAUUGGGGUCGCCAUAUUUUCUAUUGUGAGAAAAGAGUAUGUGUACAAAGUUUGCAAAAGCUGAACUUGUUUAUAUGGUAGGAAUUGGGCUUUUUUUUUUUUUACAAAUUGGCAAGAGCUCAGACUUUCAAUUAAGAGAGACAGAGUAUAUAUACAGGGUGAUCAAAAGCCAAAAUCAAAGCGCUCCAAAGCUCUCAUCUCCUCAGGAAGCUAAACCCGUUGUCAUCUCCUCAGGAAUUGGGCAUUAUCGGCCAACUUUACACCAACAGGUACAAUAUCCUCUAUCAGCUAUACAAUUUGUCUCUAGCUUGACAAGCUCUGACUAAUGAAUACGCUAUUUACAUACAAUGCAAUCAUUGUUCCGCAACGCCUGCACUAUUUGAGCAUCGGGAUUAAUCAAGCUGUCUCACAGUUUACCUCUUCUGGAAGUUGAAUAUCUUGAGCGAGAGCCCGAAAAGCAAGGCAAAGAUCACAGGGAAUGCGACCACCACCACAGCAACCAGCCACAGCAAGUCGUGAUGGUACCCAAAGUAGUCUUCGACAAAGUCAGAUAUACGCACCCCACUGUUACUGAAAUUCUCGGUUACAUCUCCAAAUUGCGAAGUCACCAGUCCGUUGAGUGUCCAUGCAAUUGGGCAAAUCCAGUAGAACCAUCUCCACCAAACUGGAAUUCUCUGUUGGGGGGGGAGUUGCCAUUUUGAGCAAAGAUGAAUUAGCAUAUAUAACCAAAAGUACGAGCACAGAUUGGUUAGAAGUGAAGCUAUACUUACAGUUCUUGGUAUUAAAAAUCCUGAGAAAAGGUUCCAAAUGGCAUAAAAUGCAGUGGAAGCAACAGAGGAGAUAUUGUAGUUCGGAGUCAGGCCCACCACCAUCAUCCCGUAAAAUGUGUAGUAU